UACUCAAUAGGCCAAUAGGCUGUCUUUAGAUUUAGUUCUAUUCUCAAGACAGGUUUUGAUCACAUUGCUUUCUUUACAUUUAGAAGUUCUUACAAACAAUGCACGUUUCAAGCCGUGCUUCAUGGAAAUACAUCAGUUUCUGAGUGGCCUAAUGAAAGUAUUGCUUCUGUGGAUUGUCAAUAAGAGAAUAUGUUAUUGAGAAAACCUAGAAAGUACUUUCCAUACCAGCUUAUUAUUUUCGUGUUUUUCCAGCUGAAGCAUAACCUCUGCAGUAAUGUAUUGGCAUCAUAAACCCAGGAAAUGGGAAUCCCCCAGUAAUGCAACACAGUGGCCUCUUGGUGGCACCAGAGAGCUAUCUGUGUAACACGUGUCUGCCCCCCCCCCCCCGCAUUGUUUCUGUAUAAAGAUUUAAUCUAAUAAAAAAUGUAUUUACCCAGCCA